AACGAACGCUGGCGGCAUGCCUAACACAUGCAAGUCGAACGAGAUCUUCGGGUCUAGUGGCGCACGGGUGCGUAACGCGUGGGAAUCUGCCCUUUGGUUCGGAAUAACAGUUGGAAACGACUGCUAAUACCGGAUGAUGACGAAAGUCCAAAGAUUUAUCGCCAGAGGAUGAGCCCGCGUAGGAUUAGCUAGUUGGUGUGGUAAAGGCGCACCAAGGCGACGAUCCUUAGCUGGUCUGGGAGGAUGGUAAGCCACACUGGGACUGAGACACGGCCCAGAAUCCUACCGGAGGCAGCAGUGGGGAAUAUUGGACAAUGGGCGAAAGCCUGAUCCAGCAAGGCCGCGUGAGUGAUGAAGGCCUUAGGGUUGUAAAGCUCUUUUACCCGGGAUGAUAAUGACAGUACCGGGAGAAUAAGCUCCGGCUAACUCCGUGCCAGCAGCCGCAGUAA
rnacentral:rRNA from 1 species